rnacentral:rRNA from 1 species
UACAGAGGUCUCAAGCGUUGUUCGGAUUCAUUGGGCGUAAAGGGUGCGUAGGCUGUUCCGUAAGUCGGAUGUGAAAUCCUGGGGCUCAACCUCAGAACUGCAUUCGAUACUGCGGGGCUGGAGGACUGGAGAGGAGACUGGAAUUCACGGUGUAGCAGUGAAAUGCGUAGAUAUCGUGAGGAAGACCAGUGGCGAAGGCGGGUCUCUGGACAGUUCCUGACGCUGAUGCACGAAGGCCAGGGGAGCAAACGGG